GACAAGAUCAAAAUCAAGAAGAAGAUGAGAAAGAUUCAUCAGAGUCGUCCAAGAAGUCUCUACAUCACUUCUUUGGUGAGGACUGGGCACAGAACAAGAACAGUUCAGAUUCUUGGCUUGACCUUUCUUCCCACUCAAGACUCGACACUGGUAAUUAAUUAAUCUGCAGACGUAAUCUU
rnacentral:sRNA from 1 species